rnacentral:rRNA from 1 species
GUGGGGAAUAUUGGACAAUGGGCGCAAGCCUGAUCCAGCCAUGCCGCGUGAGUGAUGAAGGCCUUAGGGUUGUAAAGCUCUUUCAGUGGGGACGAUAAUGACGGUACCCACAGAAGAAGCCCCGGCUAACUUCGUGCCAGCAGCCGCGGUAAUAUGAAGGGGGCUAGCGUUGUUCGGAUUUACUGGGCGUAAAGCGCACGUAGGCGGAUCGUUAAGUCGGGGGUGAAAUCCUGGAGCUCAACUCCAGAACUGCCUUCGAUACUGGCGAUCUUGAGUCCGGAAGAGGUGAGUGGAACUCCUAGUGUAGAGGUGGAAUUCGUAGAUAUUAGGAAGAACACCAGUGGCGAAGGCGGCUCACUGGUCCGGUACUGACGCUGAGGUGCGAAAGCGUGGGGAGCAAACAGGAUUAGAUACCCUAGUAGUCC